GAUAAGGUAUCCCAAUGAGACACCAUGUAGACCACGUGGUAGAUAGGUUGGAAGUGUACGCAUAGUAAUAUGUUUAGCUAACCAAUACUAAUAAGUCCAUUGGCUUGACCACC
rnacentral:rRNA from 1 species